UCUCUCUCUCUCUCUCUCUCUCUCUCUCUCUCUCUCUGUAUUAAUAAAUUGAGUUUUUUAAGUUUCCCGUAGUACGCCAACUGGUGUGAAGGCACUUGACGUCAUUGAUCUUCGAAAACAAUAAAGGAAAGAGCCAAGGAAGCCUCUUGACCAAAUGAGUACAUUGAAAGAUUUUGGUCACAAUCUUCUAGUGAGCUACAUUAUUAGUCACCUUUUGAUUGCCAUUUUAUUCUCAUGGAGUCCAAUACUCUAUUUCUCUUGUUCCAAAUAACGUACUCGAAGGGAAGGAAGAAAGGAUUGCACCAGGAACCUUACUUGGAACAACGCACUUGUUGAGCUACUAAGUGGAUGUCACUCUUUGGUCGGAAGAAUUAGAGGCUUUGGAUGAUGUUACUUUGGCAGCAACGUAAGCAAGGGAAGAGGAGAAGCUAUGAAAUCAAUGCAAAGGACUGCAGUGACAUUGUGGCAGAGGCUAAGAAAAAGAGGAAUCACAAGAUGUAGAAAAACGGAAGGGAAGGCAAAUAAGAAGGUUUUCGAGUUUUAGGCACAAAUCUAUGCAUCAAAUUUGCAUGCUCCCUCUCCCCCAUUGGAUAUAUUCUGUUUGGGGAAUAUACUAUGAACUCUGAAAUUUGAAAUAUCUGACACAUUGAAAGUUCUUAUUGAUAUAUAAAAUGUGAAGUUCUUUGGUU